rnacentral:rRNA from 1 species
AACGAACGCUGGCGGCAGGCUUAACACAUGCAAGUCGAACGCAUCCUUCGGGGUGAGUGGCAGACGGGUGAGUAACGCGUGGGAACGUGCCCUUCAGUUCGGAAUAACCCAGGGAAACUUGGGCCAAUACCGGAUACGUGCGAGAGCAGAAAGAUAUAUCGCUGAAGGAUCGGCCCGCGUCUGAUUAGCUAGUUGGUGAGGUAAUGGCUCACCAAGGCGACGAUCAGUAGCUGGUCUGAGAGGAUGAUCAGCCACAUUGGGACUGAGACACGGCCCAAACUCAUACGGGAGGCAGCAGUGGGGAAUAUUGGACAAUGGGCGCAAGCCUGAUCCAGCCAUGCCGCGUGAGUGAUGAAGGCCUUAGGGUUGUAAAGCUCUUUCAGUGGGGACGAUAAUGACGGUACCCGCAGAAGAAGCCCCGGCUAACUUCGUGCCAGCCGCCGCAGUAA